GACGAACGCUGGCGGCGUGCUUAACACAUGCAAGUCGAACGGAAAGGCCCUGCUUUUGUGGGGUGCUCGAGUGGCGAACGGGUGAGUAACACGUGAGUAACCUGCCCUUGACUUUGGGAUAACUUCAGGAAACUGGGGCUCAUACCGGAUAGGAGCUCCUGCUGCAUGGUGGGGGUUGGAAAGUUUCGGCCGUUGGGGAUGGACUCGCGGCUUAUCAGCUUGUUGGGGGGGUAGUGGCUUACCAAGGCUUUGACGGGUAGCCCGCCUGGGAGGGUAGCCGGGCACCAUGGGACUGAGGUACGGACCAGAAGGCUACCGGACGCAGAAGUGGGGAAUAUUGCAAAAUGGGGCGAAGUCUGAUGCGGCAACCCCGGGUGCGUGAUGAUCGGCUUUGGGUGGAAAACAGCUUUCGCCUGUGAUGAAGCGUGAGUGACGGUAAUGGGUAAAGAAGCACCGGCUAACUACGUG
rnacentral:rRNA from 1 species